AUUGAACGCUGGCGGCAGGCCUAACACAUGCACGUCGAACGAGUGGCGGACGGGUGAGUAAUGUAUGGGAAACUGCCCGAUGGCGGGGGAUAACGACUGGAAACGGGAGCUAAUACCGCAUACCAUCGGAUGUGCCCAGAUGGGAUUAGCUAGUAGGUGGGGUAAUGGCUCACCUAGGCGACGAUCCCUAGCUGGUCUGAGAGGAUGACCAGCCACACUGGAACUGAGACACGGUCCAGACUCCUACGGGAGGCAGCAGUGGGGAAUAUUGCACAAGGGGCGCAAGCCUGAUGCAGCCAUGCCGCGUGUAUGAAGAAGGCCGUCGGGUUGUAAAGUACUUUCAGCGGGGAGGCGUUACCCGCAGAAGAAGCACCGGCUAACUCCGUGCCAGCAGCCGCGGUAAUUC
rnacentral:rRNA from 1 species